rnacentral:lncRNA from 10 species
AUGAAUAAGCCAGAAGAUAGUCAGCACAGAAGCCUCCCUACAACCUGGAAAAAGAAAUGAGCUUUCACUUUGAAUAUCACACAGACAUACUGAGGUGGGAAACUACAUGUGCGUGCUUGACACAACUUGAAAACAAUACAAAACAACAAAUCACAAUUGCAAAAUCAUACAACACAAAUGGAAUCACAGUCCAUAAGGGAGGCCAUGAAAGAGAGAGUGCAUGUGGUGGACAUAUUAAGCUGAUAUGCAGACCUGGGAUGGUGUCAGACAAGUGCUGAAGGCACUGUUUGUUUCCUGCCCCAAUGCUGAGCUCAGACCACAACCGAAUCCAGAGCCUGCCAUUUAUCACUUGACCACGUACAUCUGAACCUGCAAGACCCUCGCACAGCCUUCACUGAGACUCCAAUCUUCUAGGUUUCCCUCCAGUGAGCGAACCAGCCAGCUGUGUCAGUGCCAUUCGGAAGUGCAUUCCUGGAUAUGGCAACAGUGAUCAACAUCCCCAUGAUAUGAGAGAUCUGUGGUUAAGCAAUGUACAAGGAGGCUGCCAGGAAAAGAGAUGGCACUAGUUGGAGCUGAAUAUUUCCUGAGGCUUAACACAAAAAUUCAAAACUCCUGUCCCUACAGUCUUGGAGCAAAUUGAUUUUCCAGGAAGACACACCAGAUUUACCAUGUGGAUUUGCUUACAUCAGAAUCCCCUGGAAGUAGAAAUACCCAAGGUUUUAAAGGACACAGUGAGGAAGAGAUUUUGCUUUGAACAAUAGGAACAACAUGAAUCUAGGGACCAGACUUUGCAGUAGUUCUUCACUUUCCCUCUUCCCACAAUAAGAAUGAAAACAUUUCUACUUCAAGAAACUGAAAUAAAAAUGCCAAC